UACGGGGGGAGCAAGCGUUGUUCGGAUUUACUGGGCGUAAAGGGCGCGUAGGCGGUCGUGACAAGUCACUUGUGAAAUCUCCGGGCUUAACUCGGAACGGUCAAGUGAUACUGUCGGACUAGAGUACAGAAGGGGCAACUGGAAUUCUCGGUGUAGCGGUGAAAUGCGUAGAUAUCGAGAGGAACACCUGCGGCGAAGGCGGGUUGCUGGGCUGAUACUGACGCUGAGGCACGAAAGCCAGGGGAGCAAACGGG
rnacentral:rRNA from 1 species